AACGAACGCUGGCGGCGGGCUUAACACAUGCAAGUCGAGCGCCCCGCAAGGGGAGCGGCAGACGGGUGAGUAACGCGUGGGAACGUACCCUUUGCUACGGAAUAGCUCCGGGAAACUGGAAUUAAUACCGUAUGUGCCCUACGGGGGAAAGAUUUAUCGGAGGAGGAUCGGCCCGCGUUGGAUUAGGUAGUUGGUGAGGUAACGGCUCACCAAGCCGACGAUCCAUAGCUGGUUUGAGAGGAUGAUCAGCCACACUGGGACUGAGACACGGCCCAGACUCCUACGGGAGGCAGCAGUGGGGAAUCUUGGACAAUGGGGGAAACCCUGAUCCAGCCAUGCCGCGUGAUCGAUGAAGGCCUUAGGGUUGUAAAGAUCUUUCAGCUGGGAAGAUAAUGACGGUACCAGCAGAAGAAGCCCCGGCUAACUCCGUGCCAGCCGCCGCCGUAACAC
rnacentral:rRNA from 1 species